CGCGUUAAGUCGACCGCCUGGGGAGUACGGCCGCAAGGUUAAAACUCAAAUGAAUUGACGGGGGCCCGCACAAGCGGUGGAGCAUGUGGUUUAAUUCGAUGCAACGCGAAGAACCUUACCUGGUCUUGACAUCCACGGAAGUUUUCAGAGAUGAGAAUGUGCCUUCGGGAACCGUGAGACAGGUGCUGCAUGGCUGUCGUCAGCUCGUGUUGUGAAAUGUUGGGUUAAGUCCCGCAACGAGCGCAACCCUUAUCCUUUGUUGCCAGCGGUCCGGCCGGGAACUCAAAGGAGACUGCCAGUGAUAAACUGGAGGAAGGUGGGGAUGACGUCAAGUCAUCAUGGCCCUUACGACCAGGGCUACACACGUGCUACAAUGGCGCAUACAAAGAGAAGCGACCUCGCGAGAGCAAGCGGACCUCAUAAAGUGCGUCGUAGUCCGGAUUGGAGUCUGCAACUCGACUCCAUGAAGUCGGAAUCGCUAGUAAUCGUGGAUCAGAAUGCCACGGUGAAUACGUUCCCGGGCCUUGUACACACC
rnacentral:rRNA from 1 species